AAUAGAUACCCCGGGUAGUCCACGCCGUAAACGAUGGAUGCUAGCCGUUGUCGGGUUUACUCGUCAGUGGCGCAGCUAACGCAUUAAGCAUCCCGCCUGGGGAGUACGGUCGCAAGAUUAAAACUCAAAGGAAUUGACGGGGGCCCGCACAAGCGGUGGAGCAUGUGGUUCAAUUCGAAGCAACGCGCAGAACCUUACCAGCUCUAGACUACACGGUCGCGAGCACCAGAGAUGGAGCUCUUCAGUUCGGCUGGACCGUGUUCAGGUGCUGCAUGGCUGUCGUCAGCCCGUGUCGUGAGAUGUUGGGUUAAGUCCCGCAACGAGCGCAACCCUCGCCCUUAGCUGCCAUCAUUCAGUUGGGCACUCUAAGGGGACUGCCGGUGAUAAGCCGCGAGGAAGUGGGAUGACGUCAAGUCCUCAUGGCCCUUACGGGCUGGGCUACACACGUGCUACAAUGGCGGUGACAGUGGGACGCAAUGGGGCAACCCUGCGCAAAUCUCAAAAGCCGU
rnacentral:rRNA from 1 species